rnacentral:rRNA from 1 species
UACGUAGGGUGCAAGCGUUAAUCGGAAUUACUGGGCGUAAAGGGCUCGUAGGCGGCCAACUAAGUCAGACGUGAAAUCCCUCGGCUUAACCGGGGAACUGCGUCUGAUACUGGAUGGCUUGAGUGUGGGAGAGGGAUGCGGAAUUCCAGGUGUAGCGGUGAAAUGCGUAGAUAUCUGGAGGAACACCGGUGGCGAAGGCGGCAUCCUGGACCAUGACUGACGCUGAUGAGCGAAAGCCAGGGGAGCAAACGGG